UACGUAGGGUGCAAGCGUUGCUCGGAAUCAUUGGGCGUAAAGAGCGUGUAGGUGGUUAGACAAGUCAGAUGUGAAAUGCCUGGGCUCAACCGAGGAAGUGCAUUUGAAACUGUCUAGCUAGAGGAUGGCAGAGGGAGGUGGAAUUCCUAGUGUAGAGGUGAAAUUCGUAGAUAUUAGGAGGAAUACCAGUGGCGAAGGCGGCCUCCUGGACCAUUCCUGACACUGAGACGCGAAAGCGUGGGGAGCAAACAGG
rnacentral:rRNA from 1 species